UACGUAGGUGGCAAGCGUUGUCCGGAUUUACUGGGCGUAAAGAGCGCGCAGGCGGUCGUUCAAGUCGCGUGUGAAAGCCCCCGGCUUAACUGGGGAGGGUCAUUCGAUACUGUUCGACUUGAAGGCAGGAGAGGGCAGCAGAAUUCCCGGUGUAGUGGUGAAAUGCGUAGAUAUCGGGAGGAAUACCAGUGGCGAAGGCGGCUGCCUGGCCUGUUAUUGACGCUGAGGCGCGAAAGCGGGGGGAGCAAACGGG
rnacentral:rRNA from 1 species